rnacentral:lncRNA from 1 species
UAAUUCAAUAUUCAUCCACUUAUGACCUGUUAAUUCUCUCUUUAGAAUGCACAAGUCAAUAUGUUACUAUUGGUCUGACAUCGAUUGCACUGCUGAUAUCUGUGUGCUUAAAUGUUGCAUUCAGUUUAUUAAGAAGAAAGGGAAAAAAAUAUGCAGCUAAUGAAAACAUGUUUGAAUAUGGAGAUGAGCCAUUACGUCAAGAUUCACUUCGGUCUUACAGGUUUGAGGAUGAUGAGAUGGAAAGACAGGAAAAUCCGAUUUAUGGAAAUAUAUGUUUAGAGGCAGGAGGUAGGUCUAGCUCACAAAUACAGUAAUCCAGUGUGUCUGCUACCUAGAGCUAAUAAUUAUGCUGUUAUGAUGACAUUGCUAUUUAUUUAAUACCUGUUAAUUCUGUACAGGACCUUUUGAAAUGUCUCCGGAGGUGUGCUAUGAACAAAUGUCACAUGCAGGCACAGCAAAGCAGGGAUUAAAGGUCCAGCAGGGGGACGUGUCCUAUGCCUCUCUGGAUCUGACUGCCAAUAAAAAGCGUAGGAAGAAGAGAAAAUACCAAACACAGACUCACCCUCAGACUCACCAGGCCCAGACACAUCCUCAGCCUGCAUCCCAGCAGAACUGCAUGGACCAGGAUGACGAGGCUGAUGUCACCCUCCCGUCCCGGAGCAGCAGCCUCAUGGUUUCACGUCACAGCAUCUACCUCAACAGUCAUCAAGUAGCCCUGGAGACAGAAGAGAGGGAGAGGGAGAGAGAAAGAGAAAUGGAAAUGGAAAGAGAAAGAGAAAGAGAUGAUAAUGGAGAGAGAGAGUUUGAGAUGCACAGAAAAGUGCUUGAAGGCUUUGAUCACUCCCUCGGUAGAUCAAGACAAAGUCUAAAACAGGACAGUUAACAGUUAGAGAGUUACAAAAAUAAAAAUAAAAAUACCUUUAGCGAAUUAAAAGAAAAAAACACAGGAUACUGUGGGGUGGUGCUGUCAAUAGCUGUGACAUUUAAAGCUCAUCGCUAUCCCAAAUCAUAAGUUCUGUGUGUUCUAAAGCAUGCAGAGGAGACCAGCUGAUGUUGUGUCCAAUCGAGACACAUCUAAAGGAGUUUACCACUUUAAAUGUGCUUUCUUGUUUCUUGCAUUUGAAGGUUGGUCUGUUUGUUGUUGUACUUAUAAGAAGAAUAUAUUAACAAAUAUUUAUCUGCUUAUUUUUAUGCUAUAUUUUCAGGAUAACAUAUAGGCUAUAAAUGUAUAUUUGUGC